GGACGUGGGGGCAACCUGGCUGCAACAUCUGUCACCCCAUUGAUCACCAGGUUGAUUCGGCUGACCUGGCUGGCCAGGCAGGGUCCCCUUCCUCACCGCUCCAUGCCCAUGUGCGUCUCUCUUGCAGCUGCUGCUGGUGGAAGAGGACGACCACCCCCAAUAUAGGUCUGCUUCCUCAGCCAAGGGUAUGUGAGUAGCCUCUCUGCCUGCUAGAACCUCCAUACCAGCUCUCCAGGAGCUAGACCUCAAGCCCUGGGAAGAGAGACAGGGAUGUGUGUUGGGCAGCCCGGGAGACCUGUGUCACAGCUAUAGCUCAGGGGUAU
rnacentral:snRNA from 1 species